CCCACAUCUUCUGAUAAUUACGGUAGGACGCAGGCAAUUGAUUUAACAACCUAAAAGCAACCUAUUGCAAGAGUGCCUGGCUGCUGACAUGGAGAAUCGCCUACGAAUUAUACCAUGAAAAUCUCUCUUUCAGAAAACGAGUGACGCUGAAGAUUUUUUUUUUUUUUUUUUUCCUUUUUAUGGCUGCGCCCACAGCACAGGGAAGUUCCCAAGCCAGGGACUGAAUCCAAGCCAUAGCUGUGACCUACGCCACAGCUGUGGCAAUAUUAGAUCCUUUAACCCGCUGUGCUGGGCCAGGGAUUGAACCAGCACCUCCACGGCACCCAGAGCCACUGUAGCCAGAUUCUCAACCCACUGCACCACAGCAGGAAUUCCAAGCUGAAGAUAUUUAGAAAGUGCCUUUUUAGAGAGAUUGUUUCAGAGCAGAUCCAAGUGGUGGUAAUAACAACAACAUGGCCUAUAAGCCUGAAAUACUUCCUGUCUGAUUCUUUGAGAAAAAGCAUUCUGACUUCUGAUGACAGACACCCAAACCAACUGCAAGACUGUAUUAAGGCGCCAUUGCUGAAUUCAAGGUAAGCAUAUAAAAUUAAGCUGCCUGACCAUUUGCUCUGUCUCUUGAAGCUGUAAAACAAAUCAUCCAAACUGAGUCAUGUAAAAGAACAAAACUUUUUUAUGCUUAUGGAUUCUGGGGGUCAGACUUUUGGAAAGGGCUCAGAGAGGAUUGUUUUUCUCUGCUCCAUGAAGUCUGGGGACUUGACCGUGAAGUCUCAAUCAGCAGAAGGUGACCUGGGUGGCUAGAAGAGCUGGAUCAGGAGGAUGUAUUUUCAAGGUGGUCUCUUCACUCAUAUGUCUGGGCUGAGAUGGUUGGGGGACAGGUUCAGCUGGGACUGUGGACUGGAGCACCUAAAUGGCUUCUCCAUGAGGUUUGCACUUCUCACGGCAUAGUGGCUAGAUUCUGAGAUGGAACAUCUCAGGAGGCAGCCUUCAGAAAAUGAGCAUUCCAAGAAAACCAGGAGGAAGCCCCAUGGCCUUUUCUGACUCAGCCCCAGAAGUCACAUGGUGUCACUUUUGCCAUAACCUAUUGGUUUCAAGCAAGGCAUAACUCAUCCCAGAGUCAAGACAAAAGGAAUCUGACUCCACCUCAUAAUAGGAGGUAUGCAGAAGACUUUGUGAUUUUUUUUUGUCUUUUGUAGGGCUGCUCCCUUGGCAUAUGGAGGUUCCCAGGCUAGGGGUCCAAUCGGAGCUGUAGCCGCCGGCCUACACCAGAGCCACAGCAAUUCGGGAUCUGAGCUGCAUCUGAGACCUACACCACAGCUCACGGCAACCCUGGAUCCUUAACCCACUGAGCAAGGCCAGAUUAAACCCGCAAACUCAUGGCUCAUAGUCAGAUUCAUUAACCACUGAGCCACGAUGGGAAGUCCUGUGAUCAUUUUUUAAAAACUGGCACAAAGAAACAAACCUAAGAACUUUUGAUUAUAGCAAAAAGAAACUCUACCUUAGAUAUAAAGAUGCUUAAGACCUUUUAGAA
rnacentral:lncRNA from 1 species